CGGCGGACGGGUGAGUAAUGCCUAGGAAUCUGCCUGGUAGUGGGGGACAACGUUUCGAAAGGAACGCUAUACCGCAUACGUCCUACGGGAGAAAGCAGGGGACCUUCGGGCCUUGCGCUAUCAGAUGAGCCUAGGUCGGAUUAGCUAGUUGGUGAGGUAAUGGCUCACCAAGGCGACGAUCCGUAACUGGUCUGAGAGGAUGAUCAGUCACACUGGAACUGAGACACGGUCCAGACUCCUACGGGAGGCAGCAGGU
rnacentral:rRNA from 1 species